rnacentral:rRNA from 1 species
AGUGGGGGAUAACGUAGCGAAAGUUACGCUAAUACCGCAUAUGCCCUGAGGGGGAAAGGGGAGGAUCGCAAGACUUCUCGCUUUCGGAGUGGCCGAUAUCGGAUUAGCUAGUUGGUGGGGUAAAGGCCUACCAAGGCGACGAUCCGUAGCUGGUCUGAGAGGACGACCAGCCACACUGGGACUGAGACACGGCCCAGACUCCUACGGGAGGCAGCAGUGGGGAAUUUUGGACAAUGGGGGCAACCCUGAUCCAGCCAUGCCGCGUGAGUGAAGAAGGCCUUCGGGUUGUAAAGCUCUUUCGGACGGGAAGAAACGGUUACGGCUAAUACCCGUGACUAAUGACGGUACCGUAAGAAGAAGCACCGGCUAACUACGUGCCAGCAGCCGCGGUAAUACGUAGGGUGCGAGCGUUAAUCGGAAUUACUGGGCGUAAAGCGUGCGCAGGCGGUUUUGUAAGACAGGCGUGAAAUCCCCGGGCUUAACCUGGGAACUGCGUUUGUGACUGCAAGGCUAGAGUGUGGCAGAGGGGGGUAGAAUUCCG